AUGGUAAAGCAAACAAACAACAACUCUGGCACUAACACCAAACAGAACGCAAACCCUGUCCCAGCCUUGUCGGCCACAGGCGCUUUCCUGUCGGUGCAGUUCCGAUCGCAGCCACUGGGGGCGCUGCUGGCUCCGGGUGGGCGGGGCAGGUGCGGUGAUUCCCCCGCGCCUGCAGGGGGCGCUGUGGCGCGGGCUGAGGGAGCACGCGCUCAUGGCGGCCGGGCUGAAUGGCGGCAAUGCGCUGCAGCAGGAGCCCGCAGCAGCGGCUGGAACAGCAGGGCGGGCUCACCAAGGCAGCAAGCAAGAGGUAGCAGAAACUCCACAGCUGUAGCAGAUGGUGAAGAGUCCUGUUUUUGGGGAGGUAGGGUGUUAAUAAGGUCCCAGUGCAACGGCCGCUCUUACGAGCAGAGCUCCACUCACCGUAGCAGGCAGCAGGAGACGGAACCCCACAGUUGUGGUGAAUUCUUCCUGCAGCGACUACAGCCUCCUUCCCUUCCAAAUGCCAGGAAAUUCUCAGAAGCUCCAUAUCAGGGAGCAGCAAGAGGAGGCUGCCCUACCCUGCAAGGACAGGGAAGUCAGAAGCUGCGCAUAACAACAGGGCAGGCAGAGGUCUCACAGACAAGAGUCUCACAGCACCAAUACAAGAUAAGCAGAGAAGCUCUGGCAAGAGUAAUCAGUUGCAACUAAGGACCCAAAUCGCUAAUCAAGUUAUUGAUGAUGAAGCAGGUCCAAGGAAAUGGCUUGAGGAAGAUAGUGAGGGGUGAAGGAGGGAGAUUUUCCACUUUUGAGCAGAUUCUGGUCUUCCAAGAGCAGUACACUUUACCGUUUAAAUUGUGACUGUCAUUCUACGUAUGAAACACAGAAUUUGGGAUUGAGCAGAUGAAGUAAUGAAUUUCAGAACUAGGAGCUGGAAAGACAGCACUUGUGCUUCCUAGCUCUUUGACUCUUGCUGACUUGAAUUCAAGUCCCAAAUGGACUUCUGAUCAGCAGGGUAGCUGAUUUCGGAAUACAGAGAGAGAGAAAAUGUGUAAAGUUCGUGAAAUACUCCACAAGCUCCAGCUUGCAAACCUCACAGAGAUUGCAGCCCAUCCUGCUCAAAAGCUCUCACCUAAUACAACAGGCUGUAAGUUGUGAAGAAAUGUGUUUAAGUAUAAAUAGUCUCUACUGGCUUCAGGAAGUAAAACUGUUCCCUUAGUUUAGUCAAGUAUUGCUUGCUGGGGAAGCUGAGAGGCCAAUGUCCUAGGCUCACCAGUGAUUUCUCCCUGUAAAAUGGAAGUUAGCAAUAAUUGUGUGUAUAAUAUUGUCUAUUAGGUGGUGCAUAAGGGCUUGCAUUGUAUGUACAUACUGUAAUUGUAUAGAAAACAUUACAGAGUGAGCCUGCUUUUAGCUUGAUGCCUCAUACAGUGGUAAUUAAGGAGAACAGUCUUUUGAUUUGCUACUAUUUGCAGUUCUGCAGGAAAACUAGGUUUAGGCUAUCUUGUGCUGUGCAUUGUUGCCAUGUUUAAUCUUCUGAUUCUCUAGGAACAAUUACAUGCGACACCUACAGGGAAUUUAAUUCCUCUGCUCCUGCCUCUAUGGCAAUUGUAAUUAUGGUGCAGUACUAUUUGGGGGAGGGGGGGGAAGGGGGAAAAAAAAUUUGUGUUUUUUAGAAUAUAGCACUGAAUAAUACCAAGAUUAGAUUUAUACAACAAUAUAGUUCCAAGAAUUAGCUUCCAGAAUUAACCCUGUGUUUCUUUUCAUGACAGGCCAGACAAAAUAAAAGCAAUUGGUUAUUGGAAAUAUUCUCAUGUAAAGCUUUCCAUUCAAGCCUAUCAAAUGCAUGUAUCCUCCCAACAUAUGUGGGAGUUAUCACAGCUCCUUUUUUUCCCCCUCCUUCUCCAGCUGAGGAAACUAAGGCACAGAAAUGUUCUGCCUGAUUUGUCUUUAUGAAAAAUCCAAAGGAGAGCAAAUUAGUAUGUGAGAAAUUUUGAAUUUCUAGCAUUUCCAAGCUUCUUUUUCUUUUAGUGGAUGCAGCUUUGAAGGAAACAUAAUGGGCAAAAUACAUGGCUUUUUAAGCUAUAAAACCUUAAAAAAGUCUGUGAAAUUAAACAAAGUAAAUGAAAAAAUGUUGCUGUGCACUAUUCUGCGGAUAAAUCCUGUUGAGCAGAAUUGAAGAUGUCAUUGUCUGAAUCACACUGUAUGAUCCCAACCAAAGCAAGUCGUAGACAGGGUUAUGCUAUUGCGUUCUUAAGGAAAUUUUAAAGAGAAUCCAAAAAGCAAUAGCGUAUUAGAACUUCUUUUGUUCCUUAUAAAAAAAGGAGAAAAAAUUAUCUCUGCUUCAUUUGCAGUAAGGCCUUUUGAUUUCUUUUAUCAUUGUGAUGAUUUUCUGAACUCAUCUUGAUGGCAAUUCAGUUAGAAAUUAAACUGUCAUCAAGAAGUCCUCCAGUGUCUUCACAAGUUAACAUUCUUGGAAGAGUGGUGUACAGAUUAAAUCAGGACAAAUGCUCAAUGGAAUAGGGCCCGUUCUGGCUAAAGAACUCAUUUAAUAAUAAUGCAGAGGCUUAUUUGUCUUAAAUAAAUACUAAUCAGGCAGAAGUGAAAUGCACUCACAAUUCUCCAUGAGCUACCUGUUCACCUUCAGCACCUGCCAUAGUCCCCCCUACAUGAAACACAACAUGGGCAAGGCUGACCUAUAGAUGGCAAAAAGCUAAGCCAUGCCUUUGAUAUAUUUAUACUGUACAAGAAAUAGAGGUUUAAGAUAACUACUAGGUUUUUCUCUUUGCAGUCUAUCCAACAUAAGUUUAGUCAUGCCAGAGAAAGUACAAUGCUAUAAUUGCCUGUAUGAAUCUUGGUAGACAAUGUGCUGCAGAAGUGAAGGUGCACAGUACAUACCCUUGCAGCUCUGCUGCUGUGAUUAACCUGAGAAAUUUUCAUGAAAAAGAAAGUAACUAAGAGAAAUGUGUUUUCUUCAGAUAAUUAUCAACUUCUUUUGAUACUGACAUCAACAGAACUGACAAGAUCUCUUUGAACAUCAAGAUUACCUUUCUGUGCAUUCUUUCUUAUUAAAAGAAAAAAUACCUACAUUGACAUUUAAAGCUUUUUCCAAUUUUCUUCUUAAAAAAGCAAAGGAGUUGAUAGAAGACCUUUUUCUAGGCCAAAGGGAAUAAAUCUCAUACAAGAGCCAUCUAAUUUUUUCCACACAAUCCUUUUUUUUAAUUUUCUGUCAAUUAUGAAUGCAGCUAGUCUUUUCACUGAAUACUAGUUCCAUGCGUAUCCAUAUCCAUUCUCCCCACCGUGUAUUAUGUUGCAAAAUACUUCUGGACUGGUACAAGACAGGUCAAGUUUUCCAUUCAGAAAACAAUCUGUGUGUUCACAGCCAAUGUGAUGAUCUCCUUGAGAAGUCAGCACAUGGAAACUGUCAUUUGAAGACCUGCAUUUUGCCACCAUCUGGCCAAACAACACUGAAUAAGUCACUUGCAGUCUUUGUUCUUUGAAUGUCUCAUUUAUUAAGCUAUUAUCAGCCAAUAUUUUCAGAAUUUUUUGUGCUCCUGCAGUACAUUUGAAGUAAUUUUUAUCUUUACUAUGCCUUAAAACCAUUUUUUGGCCUUGUUUUCUCCAAAUGUAAAUAUCUAGCCUUCAAUCUAGCCUGAACUGCAUGCUUUGUUUUGUAAUAUGAACAGUGCAGGCACAGUGCAAAAGAGAAGAGACUCCAAACAGUGAAUCUGAAUGCACUUUUAAACAUACUUUCCCAUUGCAGAUAUUUACAAAUGAAACCCUGUGAUGCAGCAUUUAAUUCCCACGAGAAGUGUUAUUCUCAUUAUAUCUUCUGUCCGUAUACAAGCUUCUGCUGUGUUACUUGUAUUGCCAUUUUCGGCAGGGACUCAGAAGAGAGAAAGGAUAGGAACUCAGACAGAAUUACUAAACUGAAACACAAAGAUAAUGAACUCUAAUGCAACAGGACAGCAAAUUAAAAGACUGGGAAGUUGUUAGCCCAUGCAAAAAUAGGAAGAAAAAGAGCUUUAUUCCAUACUUUUGAAGCAUUCUUCAAAGCUCAGAGAGCCUACUAAACGAAGCAGUCCAGCUAAUCUGCCUAGAGCUCCUCAGUUUGGCUCUCUUUACAAAAGAAAUCCAAGCAGACAUUUUUAAGAGCAAUUAUUUUUUUAUGAAAAGGAAAUAACUAAGACCUAGAAAGGCACAUUAGGGGCUAGAAGACACACCAAUCAGGAAAUGGUUUAAGAUGCCCAUUCAGCUCAAUUUGUUUUAAAGUAUUUCAAACCUCCUGAAUACAGCAAAUUCUACAAAUAACCAAGUGGCUGGGAGACAUAGUGCAUACUGCCAAACAGAUUUAAAUGCAAAACCAAGACUCCUGUUUCCCAAAGCUGUGGAGGGUGAUUAUAAAAUUGUCUAGUCUUAAAGCAAAAUUAGGCUCUCUGUGUCUUGGUUUGUUUCUCUGUAUUUCCCUAUCAGAGCCCUAAUGUUCUCCUUCUGUGGAAAUAUAUCCACAAAAGAACAAACUUACAUAGAAAAUUGGUAGUUCCAAAAAUGGCAUGGAUUUGGCAAAAUUGUGCCCUGGUUCACAACAUUACCAGACAGAAGUAUUCAAGCACUAUAAAACACCUUCUGUCCUUUGCUUUGGGAUCAGAAUUUAAAACACUUAAAAUUAUGCAUUUAAUAACACAUUUUAGAAUUUUAUUUGCUUUUCAUUUUGAAAAUCUUGCAAAAAUCUAUAUAAUACAUUAAUUUUGUUUUAGAAACACAAAGUCCAUGAAUUUGUCUUUUUAUUAAAAAAAAAUCCUUAGAUUCCCUCUCUAGCCAAAUAAUUUUAGCAGCUGAAACAUACAGAGAUGCACCAUGUAUCAAAAGACUGAAAAAAGCUGGAAGAUCACAGUAUUGGAUCCAUUGGCUGCACUUCAAUUUUAUUGUUCCAGAAGUUUAUGGGUAUUGUCACAUGAAAGGUUACAAACCUAUAAUACUGACUCUUCAAGUAACUGCCAUUCUAAAAAUGUUCUGACACUUACCUGGGAUUAGGGGAAUUUUCUUUUUAUUCUGGAAAAAAAUAAGUUCUCUAAAUCUCUUAGUCUCGAUAGGAACUUAAGAAGUAAAAGAAAUGAAGGCAAUGUUUCCAGAUUUUUGUAGGGAAGUCAGAUACUCAGCUGUGUCUGCAGGUUAUGGAAAGCUACGACAUAAUCUUUCUGCAGAAUGAGAGUCCUUUGCAAGGCUUGCAAGACAGAAUAAUACAGAAUAUUUCUAACAAGAGUAUUGAUUGCAAAAGCACAUUUUCUUUCCUCUUACCCACAUUUCUGAUUUUAAAGGCCUACACAAUAAUGGUGAAGUAUAUGAAGCUUAAAACCCAGCAAAAGCUGCACAAGGAAUCUCUGAUGUCUGAUCAAAGGCGAGCUAUUUGAGAAAUUUCAUGAGCAACUGCAACUACUUGAAAGAUAAACUGAAACCAUCUAUUGAGAGAUGACAUGUGAAAUAAUGUCUUUUAACUAAAAAAUAAUAAAUGGGCAUUAAGGCAGAAUAUGAAUAUAGUUAAAUGGCAAAUAUCAGGUUUGUUUCUAAGACAAGGAAACAAUUCCAGAGAUUUUCAGCAAAGAAGAACUGAGUGACACACAAUAGAAGCAGUCAGCUUCCACAUUUCAGCACAAGUUGCAUCACAUAAUGCAAGGAACAGCAGGAAUGUAUUAAUAAGCAUGUAACUACAAGACAAAGAUGUUGUGAUGACUGCAGUUGUGCAGAAAAAUAUUCUUUAUUGGAUUUCAUAAAAAUGUACAAAAGUUAUUUUUCAGAUCACAUAUUUGUGAUAUUGUAAGCAAAUUAAUAUCAAAGAUGGUUCAGGAAAUAUGAUGAUCUAGUGGAAAAAUAUAUGAAUUGUGUCUCUUUUAUAUGUCAGUUGCAAAUUUUAUACGAAUCUUGCAAAUUCACAGUGGCACUUUUCUAGAAUACUGUUCAUCCUUCCAACUGUGAGACAAAAGUCUCUGAAUGUAAAACCCAAAGUGGGUUCUCAUUAUCUGAAAGAAAACCGCUUUAACUAGCUUAAUGACAUCUAAAAUUAGGAUAUGUGGAAUAUCUAUAAUACUGAAAAGCUUGUGAAACACCUGUAUUAUUAUGUAAGAUUUCAUAACCAUUCAGACUAAAUAAAAGGUGACCAUGGCUGAAAUCUCAAUCAUGUGGCCAGAUUAUCAAUGUUUACCACAAUAAAGUAAAAUAUUCAAAAAGUGUUAUGGAGUAAGAACUCCCAGGAAGUGAACAUGUAUCUUUACACAGAAUAGCUGCAAGCAAAGAUAAGGGAAUAAGCUUUCCACCCCAACAGGUAGAACACAGUUACCAGACAUGGGUGUGAAAACAGAACUACAGCAAGGAUGAUAAUUACAUGUAGAAGAAAAGUGGUGACUUUAACCUUUGAAAGUAAUGGUGAAGUGAUUCAUUCCAUGGUCAUGAUAGCUAUUCUUGCAGAACUGUAUGGUCAUACUCAUUCCUGAGGAACAGUCCAGAAAAAAGCACCAAAGCUAAAGGAAGCUAAAGCUAAUUAUGUUUACAGUUAUGUCAGGAUAGUCAAAAUACUACAGCCUAUGUUCCUAAACUGACAAAUUGUUACCUAAUCACUAAUAGCAAGAGUCAUGGCACACACAGCCAAGAUGUGCUAUGAUAGAAGCCUAGAUGAAUUACAUGUUUGGAUUCAAUAUUUAAACCCUAUGAACAAAUGUACAAUGGAACAGAGAAUCACUGUGGCUACAAAUUCGCCUGUCUCCUGGAUAGAUAUUGAAGUGAUUUUAUUGGGUAUUUCUUGCUAUUUUUAUUCAGCAUUAUAUUUAGGUUUCAUAACCUAAACAGUUAGGUUAUGAAACCUUGAAGUAAGUGGCAAGCAGAAUGAAGUCUCAACUUAAAUGUUCAAUUAGUUUUAUCUAAGCAUUAAAAUAAUUUACUGGAAUAUACUUUCAUUUGAGCCAGAUUUUUUAUAUAUUUGCCAUUAUCAUUUCUUAUCCUUCAAAUAAUGUUUCAAGAAAAAUGUUUAUAAAACCUCAUUUUGUUCUGCUAACCCUGCAAACUAAAUAUGUUUCAUUUAUUUUUAAAUUAAGUGAAAAUUAGCCAGGUGUGAUAGAUAAGUUUUCUAUACACAGGUCUAAAUAUUGACAAAAGGAGACGUGUCACUGGAAAAAUCAUCAGUCUAGCAAUUAUCACGUUAGCAUGUUAAGUGGAAAAAGAUGUGAAACUUCCAAAUGUGUCAAUACAGAUUAUUUCAUUUCCACCAGCUAUCAGCUAUACUGUGAACAUCAGUGCCUUAGUGUCUAUUCAGCAACAAGUCAGUUUUUGCAAGAAAAUAUCUUAACGUGCCAUGAAGAAUUGUCAAAUCUCUGGCAAAAUUAUGCACAUCCCCUUGAGAAAUGGUCUGCCAAGCAAAUAUUAGACAUUUCUAGAAGGACAGACAUUACAGGGAUAGAGCCAGAGGCCAUGAACUGGAACAACCUGUCAGCAAGACCUAUCUUUCUCACAGACAUGGCAAUGAUUUUCAGGCCCAAAUGUGAGAGAACAGGGAACAGAGGAGAAGGAGCUGGUCACCAACCUUUUCUACUGCUGCUGUCCAUCAAAAAAUGUUUCAAGAAGUUAAAUUAAGGGGCAUUGAUUAAUGAGCCACAGACAAAGCAAGGAAGAUAGAAUAAUGAUCCUUGUAGCUGAACAGAGUGCAUUUAAAACGCAUAUUUUUCUUAACAACGCAAAUAAUUACUUGCAAGAGCCCUGAGUACACUAGUGCCUAAACCAGUGUUUAAGUUUUAAAUCUUUAUCUUGUCUAUAAUAGCACUGAUAAUUUCAUAUCAGCUUAUGAGGGCCACAGCUCACAGAAUUCAUUGUCUUGGAGGGAGGACUUAGAGACUCAACCCUGUGAGAAAUAACAGCAUGAAAAAAGGACACUUGAGCUGAAUAACACUUUCUUGCAAGCAUCCUGUAAGGUUGCAAGAUGUUGGAUCUUGAAAAAAAAACUCUCAAUUUUGAGUGGCCUUGAAGAGGUCCUAGCUGGCAAAUGUUAUCCCAAUUUUUAAGAAAAUAAAGAAAGAGGAGCCCAGAAACUACAGGCCUAUCAGUCUCAUUCAGUGCCUGGUAUGGUUAUGGAAAAAUUAUCCUGUAGCCAUUGAAAAACACCUGAAAGACAAAACAGUCACUAAUCACAGCUUCAUGAGAAGUUCCUGUUCAUCAAACCUGAUUGCCUUUUAUGACAAGACAACCACAAUGAGUCUGACUGCAGGACACAAACACCAGAAAAUGAAGUUGAGAAUCCUGCACAGAUUGUGUUGUGUAUCCUGCACAGAUUUGUAGAUAACACAUGGUAAUGUCCCAUCAGAAGAAAGCUGGAACAUCUGGAUAACACUUUAGUGAAAACAAGUUUUAUUUUAGAGAAUAAAAGUGAAUGACAAGGAAGUUAGACCGUACUAAGUAACGCAACAUGAAAAAAAUAUUGCAAUAAUCCUGGUCUAAGGUGAAGUUUGCAGGUCCAAACAGAAUAAUCUUUGUGCUUGUAAAUUUAGCACAGCUUACUCUUAACAACUGGCAUUUCAUGAUUGCUGAUGACAUCCAAGCUGCUUUUCAGAACAAUGCAUAACAGUCUUUUUAGUUAAACACGAACUAAAAAUUAUGUCUGGCAAUUCACCCUACUUAUCAAUUUCUAAUUAAUAAAAAGGAUGAAACCACUAGAAUUGAACUUACCCUGUGAAAUGACAGGAUGGAGGAGAAUCAUAAGAACAACUUAGAGACAUGAAUGGGGAAAGUAAGCACUGAUACAGGAUGUUGUAAGACCGAUAAAGAAUUCUAUUAAGAUAUUGUUAUUCAGCAUCAAAUUGUAAAAAAUCUUUUUACAUGAAGUGAAAAAUCAUAGAAUUUUAAAGUUCAAAGAACAGAUAAUGCAAUUACAACAGGAUACAGGUGAGCUACUUAAAUUAUCAUAUUCCACUUAACUCAGUGAUCAUAAUAAUUUUGCAACUCUAUUAUCUUGAGCUAUGAAGAAUAAUUUAGAAAAUCAUUGACUCCAUCUAGUGGUAAUUUUCUGUAAUUUUUCACUUGCAACUGCUUCAGUAGAGAAAUCAAUUCCAAACCUUCAUAUUAAUUUGUUACAAGUCAAGACACAACAACAGCAGCAAACAAUCAAGAAAAUUAGCCCACAUCUCUUGCAAGAACAGUGCUCAAAAUAUUCUGCAAAGAAAGUCACAUCAUUUUUCAUACAUUAUAGUUUAGAAAGCUGAGAUGGAGGGAAAUGAGACAAUUUUAGCCAGAGGCAGAAUAUGGACGAGAGCCUCAGCCUCCCCAGCCACAAGGCUGUCCCUCAGAGAACCAGGAUGACAGAGGCAAUUUUUCUCCUUGGAUAUCUUUGCCUCAGAUUACUGGUAGACUACUGGUGGCUGGUACUCUGAAUGAAGUAAAAAGGAAUUAAAUGAAGUUGUAUUUUUCCUUUUCAUAACUUAAAGGAGGGAGGCAUAUCGCUGCAGCCACCACAUUAGCCAUUACAAGUAACCAUGUUUGCAGGCUGCUGAGGCAAUACAAAGAAUCAGACCUCAGAAUAUGUUCUGCUUACUCAGCCCCCACAAUGUACAAUUCAAUCAAAGUGGCAGCAUGGCAUGAAAAAGUUUACACUGCAACUCUCUGAUGAUCUACCUUAUUCCAGAAAAUAAAAAAAAAACACAACACACACACAAACACACAAAACUCAAAAUAAACAAACAAACAGAACCAUAUAAUGGAUCAAGUCUCCAAGGCAAUAAGUGCAUUUUUUAAAAAACAUUUUUCAAACUGUAACUUUUCAAAAAUUUUUCAAAAGCAUUUAACCUAGAUGAAGUAAUUUUGGAUAAUCUUUUAUAGAUUAUAUAACUACUAUAUCUUAUAUAGUUUAUAUAACUACUAAAAUGAAAGUCUGAUAGAGAAGUUUAAGAUGUGGAAAGCCACAUGUUUAUUCAGGGUCAUUGAAAGAAAAAUUAAGUCCAUAAUGAUCAGAAUCUAAGGAACUAUAGAGAAAAGCGAUUUUAACAUUGUGAAGUUUUGGGGCUUUGGGGAAAUGUGGACAUCAAAAAAGUUAAUUUUUAUUCCUGAUUUUACAAGAAUACUUGUAAAUUGUAGCAAUAUAAUAGACCUCAGAAAGGAGACACAGUAUUCAUAUCCAGAGCUUCCAUAACAGGGCAAUAAAAAUGUCACUGUUCUAGUCUAUUAAAAUUAAAUACAUAACACUCUUCCCAAUUAAUAAUUUGGAAAGCUAUCAAUAAAUUUUGAACUGGUCCACAGCUAUGAGGAAAAUAUCAACUACUGAUAGGAAUAAGCAUCAUUCCAUAAGAAGGAUGAUUGGAGUUGAGCUCUAGCUUGAGCUGAUUAACUCUACCUUGUCAGUCACAGUCUGCACAGCCGAAAGAACUAUGACACUGAGUGAGGGAUUAACACUAUCGUGAAAUGGGCUUUCAGAGCUAAAAUUUGAAUGUUGAAACUAUUCACUGGUGAAAUUACCCAAAGAUUAUUUUGAGGAAGUAAACUUGGCAAGCACAGUGCUAUCCUAAAAGCAGUAUAAACAGUACAUGUCAAUAAAGAAGCUUAGCUCCCCUCUGCUGGCUUUAGUCAACCACAGUUGAUUCACAGAAUUUCUACAGCUAAACCCCAUCCCACUCAAACCCAUCUUCUCUUUGACAAGAGUACUAGUGAAAAAAACACUGGAUUGAAGAAAUUCUUAGCUGCUAACACUUGUUCUCCCAAGCCACUAUGUCCAGUAUACUGCUUCCAGGACAGAGUAGAAGGAUUCUACAUGCUGUCCUUAUCAACACCUAUGGAUGAACAGAGCAUCUUUAAGUAAUUCCCUAGACAAUUGAGAGUGACUCCAUAGCUAGUCACUUUAAAAAUGCUGGAAUUUCGUAGAAUAGUUAUCUUUCACAUAUGAUUACCAAAACAGAAAAUUAGAGGAAAAGUUCUUUUCAAAUUUUCAAGUAAUGGAGAUACAGGGUGACUUCAGAUCUUAAUAAGAGCUAAAUGCAGCCUAAGAGAUGUGUCAGUUAGAAUAUAUUACAUCCUCUACAGCAUCCGAUUAAUAUUUUGGUAUCCAUACAUAAGAUGUAGAUCAACAAAAGAAAUGCAGUGCUUGAAACAAAUACAGCAAGUGUAUUUUUCAUUGUAAGUGAUGCAGCAGAGUUGUAAGUAACAUAGUUAAUGUAUUAAAAAUUGCAGUCACAGGUAUUGGUACUUUUCUAUUUCCCUUUUAAAUUAUACCAUAGAGAUGAUCCCCAGUGCACAGUUCUGAUACUGUGGUCUUGUAGCUGCAUAUCAGAACCUUCUUCUCCUGUUACAACCAUACCUUAGAGAAAAGAAAAAUGUCUGAGCAGACUUUUUAAUAGGAAUAAUUUUCCAUGCCUCUAGUUUAAAAGCAAUCCAUUUUAUAAUAAAAUUAUUUAUUUGUAACUGUUUGUACUUUUAAAAAGAAUAAAGGCUGUUUCCCUUGACAGUCAUUCAAUAAAAGAAUGUUUUCCAGGACUUAAGUACUCACCUGCUAUUUUUAAUCUUUUGU